rnacentral:misc_RNA from 1 species
UUUCCGUAGGUGAACCUGCGGAAGGAUCAUUACCGAAUUGUCAACAAGAGUUGUUGCUGGUCCCCAUACGGGGGCAUGUGCACGCUCUGUUCACACAUCCACUCACACCUGUGCACCCUCUGUAGUUCUAUGGCCUGGGUGGGCUCUGUCCUCCCGCUGUGGUUCUACGUCUUUACACACACACUACAACAAAGUCCUAUGGAAUGUAUGUCGCGUUUAACGCAAUGAAAUACAACUUUCAGCAACGGAUCUCUUGGCUCUC